rnacentral:rRNA from 1 species
AUUGAACGCUGGCGGCAUGCCUUACACAUGCAAGUCGAACGGUAACAGGUCUUCGGAUGCUGACGAGUGGCGAACGGGUGAGUAAUACAUCGGAACGUGCCCGAGAGUGGGGGAUAACGAGGCGAAAGCUUUGCUAAUACCGCAUACGAUCUCAGGAUGAAAGCAGGGGACCGCAAGGCCUUGCGCCCACGGAGCGGCCGAUGGCAGAUUAGGUAGUUGGUGGGAUAAAAGCUUACCAAGCCGACGAUCGGUAGCUGGUCUGAGAGGACGACCAGCCACACUGGGACUGAGACACGGCCCAGACUCCUACGGGAGGCAGCAGUGGGGAAUUUUGGACAAUGGGCGCAAGCCUGAUCCAGCCAUGCCGCGUGCAGGAUGAAGGCCUUCGGGUUGUAAACUGCUUUUGUACGGAACGAAAAGACUCUGGUUAAUACCUGGGGUCCAUGACGGUACCGUAAGAAUAAGCACCGGCUAACUACGUGCCAGCCGCCGCCGUAA